rnacentral:rRNA from 1 species
UAACGAAUCUUCCGCAAUGGGCGAAAGCCUGACGGAGCGACGCCGCGUGCAGGAGGAAGUCCUUCGGGAUGUAAACUGCUUUUAGGGGAACGAAAACACAGCGACCUAACACGUCGUGAGUUGAUCUACCCCAGAAAAAGCCUCGGCUAACUCUGUGCCAGCAGCCGCGGUAAGACAGAGGAGGCUAGCGUUGUUCGGAAUCACUGGGCUUAAAGCGCGUGUAGGCGGCCUCGUAAGUGCCUUGUGAAAU